rnacentral:rRNA from 1 species
CUUUCUUAGANGGGACUAUCGGUGUNUUAACCGAUGGAAGUKKGAGGGCAAUAACAGGGUCUGGUGAUGCCCUUAGAUGUUSUGGKCCGCACGCGCGCUACACUGAUGAAGUCAACGAGUUCAUUUCCUUUAUCGGAAGAUAUGGGUAAUCUUUUGRRACUUCAUCGUGAUGGGGAUAGAGCAUUGCAAUUAUUGCUCUUGAACGAGGAAUCCCUAGUAAGCACAAGUCACUAGCUUGUGCUGAUURCGUCCCUGCCCUUUGUACACACCGCCCGUCGCUACUACCGAUUGAAUGGCUUAGUGAGGC